UACGUAGGGUCCGAGCGUUGUCCGGAAUUAUUGGGCGUAAAGGGCUCGUAGGCGGUUCGUCACGUCGGGAGUGAAAACUCGGGGGCUUAACCCCCGAGCCUGCUUCCGAUACGGGCAGACUAGAGGUAGGCAGGGGAGAGCGGAACUCCUGGUGUAGCGGUGGAAUGCGCAGAUAUCAGGAAGAACACCGGUGGCGAAGGCGGCUCUCUGGGGCCUUACCUGACGCUGAGGAGCGAAAGCGUGGGUAGCGAACAGG
rnacentral:rRNA from 1 species